rnacentral:rRNA from 1 species
GAUGAACGCUAGCUACAGGCUUAACACAUGCAAGUCGAGGGGCAGCACAAGGCAGCAAUGCUGAGGUGGCGACCGGCGCACGGGUGCGUAACGCGUAUCCAACCUUCCCGUUACUCUUGGAUAGCCUUCCGAAAGGGAGAUUAAUAUAAGAUGGUGUUGAAAUUCCGCAUGUUAUUUCAACUAAAGAUUUAUCGGUAACGGAUGGGGAUGCGUGACAUUAGAUAGAUGGCGGGGGAACGGCCCACCAUGUCCACGAUGUCUAGGGGUUCUGAGAGGAAGGUCCCCCACACUGGAACUGAGACACGGUCCAGACUCCUACGGGAGGCAGCAGUGAGGAAUAUUGGUCAAUGGCCGGAAGGCUGAACCAGCCAAGUAGCGUGAAGGAUGAAGGUUCUAUGGAUUGUAAACUUCUUUUAUACGGGAAUAAAACCUCCCACGUGUGGGAGCUUGUAUGUACCGUAUGAAUAAGCAUCGGCUAACUCCGUGCCAGCAGCCGCGGUAAAAC